UACGAAGGGGGCUAGCGUUGCUCGGAAUCACUGGGCGUAAAGCGCACGUAGGCGGAUUGCUAAGUCAGGGGUGAAAUCCUGGAGCUCAACUCCAGAACUGCCUUUGAUACUGGCGAUCUCGAGUCCGGGAGAGGUGAGUGGAACUGCGAGUGUAGAGGUGAAAUUCGUAGAUAUUCGCAAGAACACCAGUGGCGAAGGCGGACUCACUGGCCCGGUACUGACGCUGAGGUGCGAA
rnacentral:rRNA from 1 species